rnacentral:rRNA from 1 species
AGGACGAACGCUGGCGGCGUGCUUAACACAUGCAAGUCGAGCGGUAAGGCCUUUCGGGGGUACACGAGCGGCGAACGGGUGAGUAACACGUGGGUGAUCUGCCCUGCACUUCGGGAUAAGCCUGGGAAACUGGGUCUAAUACCAGAUAUGACCUCCUAUCGCAUGGGUGGGUGGUGGAAAAGAUUUAUCGGGUGCAGGAUGGGCCCCGCGGCCUAUCAGCUUGUGGUGGGUAAUGCCUACAAGGCGACGACGGUAGCCGACCUGAGAGGGUGACCGGCCACGACUGGGACUGAGACACGGCCAGACUCCUACGGGAGGCAGCAGUGGGGAAUAUGCAACAAUGGGACGAAAGCCUGACUGACAGCGACGCCGCGUGAGGAUGACCGGUCUGGGU